rnacentral:rRNA from 1 species
AAAGAGGGGGACCUUCGGGCCUCUCGCGUCAGGAUUAGCCCAGGUGAGAUUAGCUAGUUGGUAAGGUAACGGCUUACCAAGGCAACGAUCUCUAGCUGGUCUGAGAGGAUGAUCAGCCACACUGGAACUGAGACACGGUCCAGACUCCUACGGGAGGCAGCAGUGGGGAAUAUUGCACAAUGGGGGAAACCCUGAUGCAGCCAUGCCGCGUGUGUGAAGAAGGCCUUCGGGUUGUAAAGCACUUUCAGUCGUGAGGAAGGCGGCUAGGUUAAUAGCNUGGUUGUUUGACGUUAGCGACAGAAGAAGCACCGGCUAACUCCGUGCCAGCAGCCGCGGUAAUACGGAGGGUGCGAGCGUUAAUCGGAAUUACUGGGCGUAAAGCGCAUGCAGGCGGCUUGUUAAGCCAGAUGUGAAAGCCCGGGGCUCAACCUCGGAAUCGCAUUUGGAACUGGCAGGCUAGAGUCUUGUAGAGGGGGGUAGAAUUUCAGGUGUAGCGGUGAAAUGCGUAGAGAUCUGAAGGAAUACCAGUGGCGAAGGCGGCCCC